GGGGGUGACUAGUGACAGACUGAGGGAGGGAGUAGGUGACUAGUGACAGAGUGAGGAAGGGGGUGACAAUGACAGAGUGAGGGAGGGGGUGACUAGUGACAGAGUGAAGGAGGUGGUGACUGUCACUAGUCACCUCAUCCCUCCCUCUGUCACUAAUCACAACCUCCCUCACUCUGUCACUAGUCACCCCCUCUCUCUCUCUGUCACUAGUCAACCCCUCCCUCUCUCUGUCACUAGUCACCCCCUCCCUCUCUCUGUCACUAGUCACACCGUCCCUCACUCUGUCACUAGAGUG